UGCCAGCAGCCGCGGUAAUACGGAGGGGGCAAGCGUUGUUCGGAAUUAUUGGGCGUAAAGCGUAUGUAGGCGGUUGGAUAAGUCAGAUGUGUAAGCCCACGGCUUAACCGUGGAAUUGCAUUUGAAACUAUCCAACUUGAGUUCAGGAGAGGAAAGCGGAAUUCCCAGUGUAGCGGUGAAAUGCAUUGAUAUUGGGAAGAACAUCGGUGGCGAAGGCGGCUUUCUGGUCUGAUACUGACGCUGAGAUACGAAAGCCAGGGGAGCGAACGGGAUUAGAUA
rnacentral:rRNA from 1 species